rnacentral:rRNA from 1 species
GACGAACGCUGGCGGCGUGCUUAACACAUGCAAGUCGAACGGACAGGCCCUGCUUUUGUGGGGUGCUCGAGUGGCGAACGGGUGAGUAACACGUGAGUAUCCUGCACUUGACUUUGGGAUAACUUCUGGAAACUGGGGCUAAUAUCCGAUAGGAGCUCCUGCUGCAUGUUGGUGGUUGGAAAGUUUCGGCGGUGGGGGAUAGACUCGCGGCUUAUCAGCUUGUUUGUGGAGUAGUGGUUUACCAAGGGUUUGACGGAUAGCCGGCCUGAGAGGGUUGCCGGCGACCAGGGGCCUAAGGGACGGAGCAGAAUCGAACGGGAGGCAGCAGUGGAGAAUAUUGCGGAAUGGCGCGAAGUCUGAUGUAGCAGUGCCGGGUGCGGGAUGCCGGGUUUCGGGGGAAAAACCGCUGUGUCAGGUAACAAAGAGGGAUUGACGGUAAUUGGUAAAGAAGCACCGGCUAACUACGUG